AUGAAGAAGGACUUAGUUGAUGCUUUCAAGACAACUGAGCCUAUUCCACUACCAAAGGUUACCACACCCACUGAAAUACUUGAUGCACUUAGAUUGAUACCUGAUUUAGCUGAGCAAGAUAUGCUUCGAUGUUACGGGAAGUUGGUACUCAAUGAUCGCCUAUUUCAAGCUCUGAAGGAGCUGCCCAUUACCAUGAGGAAGACAUGGCUGCUAAUGUUGCCUUGA
rnacentral:rRNA from 1 species